AGUUUUAAAUCUGUGUAAAACUUAAUAUUUGCAUAUUUAUGGCUUAAAUUUUAAAUAAUGAGAGAUGAGAAUUAUCUAUUCCAAUACUUAAUUGAAUGUAUUUUUAUGGACUCUCGUUUUUUAUAUAGAUUUAAAAUUUAUAUAAAAAACCAGAGUCCUUCAGAUUCUGAGGAGAAGCCAUGGCUUCUUAUGCUUGUGUUAGGCAAGUCCUCCAGCCCAAAUGUACUAAAUAUUCCCAAUUUCAAUUGAGCCCAUCUUGGGUCGUUCCUGGUUCACUCCAGGCUACAUGAAUUUUCCAGCCACCGGAAGAUGAGGAUGGAGUGUCUUUGGGGACCAUGAAAUUGCCUUUGGACAUUGACAUUCCUAGAUUUGAAAGCUUGCUUUUCCAGGAUCCUCAGAGAAAAGGUUGACUCCUAUUGAGGAAUUGACAUCUCUGGACUUGAAAACUGGGCAAACAGUCUUUGCCAAGGAGCUACUUUGCCACUUCCUAUGCCUCUAAAGGUUGGUAAUUGUAUGUAUUUUUAUUAUUUAUUAUAUAUGCCUUCUAAACCACUAGUAAGAUGAAUAUGUUCAUGGGAUUGUUAUGAAAGUGCUUACUUGAGCCUAGGCAAUGAGGCUUGUCCCAAUAUUUGUG